rnacentral:rRNA from 1 species
GAUGAACGCUGGCGGCGUGCCUAAUACAUGCAAGUCGAGCGAACAGACGAGGAGCUUGCUCCUCUGACGUUAGCGGCGGACGGGUGAGUAACACGUGGAUAACCUACCUAUAAGACUGGGAUAACUUCGGGAAACCGGAGCUAAUACCGGAUAACAUGUUGAACCGCAUGGUUUAACAGUGAAAGACGGUCUUGCUGUCACUUAUAGAUGGCUCCGCGCCGCAUUAGCUAGUUGGUAAGGUAACGGCUUACCAAGGCAACGAUGCGUAGCCGACCUGAGAGGGUGAUCGGCCACACUGGAACUGAGACACGGUCCAGACUCCUACGGGAGGCAGCAGUAGGGAAUCUUCCGCAAAGGGCGAAAGCCUGACGGAGCAACGCCGCGUGAGUGAAGAAGGUCUUCGGAUCGUAAAACUCUGCUAUUAGGGAAGAACAAAUGUGUAAGUAACUAUGCACGUCUUGACGGUACCUAAUCAGAAAGCCACGGCUAACUACGUG